rnacentral:lncRNA from 1 species
UGGAAUCAAAUUCGAGUGAUGCAACCGGCAGACGAUGGAGCAAUGCAAAAUAUUGGUCGCAGCCCUUCCAGGUAAAGUACUGGAGCUGAAUAUGCCCGCUGAUAUAGGAUUCCUAAGAUACGCGUCAACGUGUGGUUGAGUGUGUGUGGUUUGAAAUCGGGUUUUGUGAGAGGGCUCACAUUGGCGAAAACACACACGAAUUAAAAUUCCCAUCCCUUAAAAGUGCAUUUAGGAGCUGUGGCAAGAGGCCUUGCUACUUCGCUACCGGGAUGAGUCCUCGUCCCGUGCGCCUCCUCCUCCCCGCACCACC